GUGUGUGUGUGUGUGUGUGUGUAUGUAUGUAUGUAUGUAUGUAUAUAUAUAUAUAUAUACACACAUAUACACAUACAUACAUACAUACAUACAC